GUCUUCUGGGGUUUUUUCUCAUCCUCUUGUUAACCCUUCUCAGAUCUCUCUCUCUUUCUAUCUGAAAAGAACCCCCAAAGCCAAAUAUCUCUACAAAUAUCACCGUAUACGUAUUGAUUGAUUGAUUUGAUUUGAACUCAUAUAAUCAAAGAACAAGACAAACAAUCAAAACCCAUUUGGAAAUUAGAUCUGAAAUCUCAACAAAACCAUUCACAUUCCCAUUUUCAUGGCAUCCCCAAAUCAACAAACCCCACAGUUUGAUAUGCACAAAUUCUUCAUGCCCACAACCACAG
rnacentral:misc_RNA from 1 species